rnacentral:rRNA from 1 species
UACAGAGGUCUCAAGCGUUGUUCGGAAUCACUGGGCGUAAAGGGUGCGUAGGUGGCGUGGUAAGUCAGAUGUGAAAGCCCGGGGCUCAACCUCGGAAUUGCAUCCGAUACUGCCGUGCUUGAGUACUGGAGAGGUGACUAGAAUUCUAGGUGUAGCAGUGAAAUGCGUAGAUAUCUAGAGGAAUACCAAAGGCGUAGGCAGGUCGCUGGACAGUUACUGACACUGAGGCACGAAGGCCAGGGGAGCAAACGGG